rnacentral:rRNA from 1 species
UACGGGGGGGGCAAGCGUUGUUCGGAAUUACUGGGCGUAAAGCGUGCGCAGGCGGUUCGUUGUGUCCGUCGUGAAAGCCCCGGGCUUAACCUGGGAACUGCGAUGGAAACUAGCGAGCUGGAGUGUGGCAGAGGGGGGUGGAAUUCCGCGUGUAGCAGUGAAAUGCGUAGAGAUGCGGAGGAACACCGAUGGCGAAGGCAGCCCCCUGGGCUAACACUGACGCUCAGGCACGAAAGCGUGGGGAGCAAACAGG